AGUUUCCUGAGAUGUUCGACGUUUCUAUUGUUUUAACCCACAGAACAAAUACGGGACUCCGGGUUUGCUGUUGGAUAACAUGCCCCUGAUAAUGAGGGGACGUUAGAAGACAGCAAUAGGUUUCCCACCUGCUGAGAGGCGGGUAUUAAAAUAGUAGAAUGACGGCAUCUUGGGAAACUA
rnacentral:other from 1 species